rnacentral:rRNA from 1 species
GGGAGGCAGCAGUGGGGAAUUUUGGACAAUGGGGGCAACCCUGAUCCAGCCAUGCCGCGUGAGUGAAGAAGGCCUUCGGGUUGUAAAGCUCUUUCAGCCGGGAAGAAAACGCACGCUCUAACAUAGCGUGUGGAUGACGGUACCGGACCAAGAAGCACCGGCUAACUACGUGCCAGCAGCCGCGGUAAUACGUAGGGUGCGAGCGUUAAUCGGAAUUACUGGGCGUAAAGCGUGCGCAGGCGGUUUUGUAAGACAGAUGUGAAAUCCCCGGGCUUAACCUGGGAACUGCGUUUGUGACUGCAGGGCUAGAGUACGGCAGAGGGGGGUGGAAUUCCGCGUGUAGCAGUGAUAUGCGUAGAUAUGCGGAGGAACACCGAUGGCGAAGGCAAUCCCCUGGACCUGUACUGACGCUCAUGCACGAAAGCGUGGGGAGCAAACAGGAUUAGAUACCC